GCCUGGGUGGCUCAGUCGGUUGGGCGUCCGACUUUAGCUCAGGUCAUGAUCUCACAAUUAAUUCGUGGGUUCUACCCCCACGUCGGGCU
rnacentral:tRNA from 1 species